rnacentral:lncRNA from 1 species
CGUGUUUCUAUCUCAUAUCUUGUCAAUACCACCUGCUACAACCUUGUACAAUCACACGUAUAACUUUCAUUAGGAGUCUUAAUUUAUCUAACAAAUUGAGAAGGUAAGUGAUUUAAUUGGUAAUUCGAUCGAAAUUAAGAAUAUUCAUCCUCGGCUCUUAAAUACCUCGGGCCUUCUGAUCUAGAUUCACCCAUGUUCCAAUUCAAACCUUAAUUAUGUUCCCACUUUAUGUACAAUUUAGAACAAAAAUCAAUAAAAUAAAUUUCAGGUGUUUCCAACUCUAGUCCUUCCCUGAUGUUGCUUAAAUGAGAAACAUACUGCAAAUUUGCAACACAAUCUAUUUAGAUACAUUGCGGUAGUCAAGUUGGAAGGGAAUAACAAACUGAAGGAUAAAGUAUCCCCCACGGUUAUAUCUAUUGUACGUAACUGCUUGCUUAUGAUGCUGACCGCAAUACUGGAACACGGGCGGUAUCGCGAGAAGUCGACAUUAAUUGUUGUGUUCCUUGUUUUGUUAACAGCUACAAUGGUCAAUGUUGAUUUGCGCAAUAGGGGUAAUAAAAUUUUGUUCAUUGGUAAAUUAUGUUUACAGCUGAAAGCGUCUAAUGAUUAAUUUGUUUUUGGACAGAAAUUCUAAUAAAUGUGUAUUCUCUAAUUUUCUCGAUAUUAUGGUGUGAGUAUUUACCUCUACGAAAAUUCUGUUUUACUCUGCAGAAGUUAAUGUAUGCAUUGUAUUAUUCAUGAAUAAAACGCAACUAUAAAAAGUAAAAUAACGAAAUUAUCGAACUCCAGGGAAAAUCUUAAACAAAAAGUCAUUAAUUAAGUAGCAAAAUCAAAGGCGCAAACACAUCAAUCGGAUCAAUAACAACUAUCAUAUUCCUGCUUUGGUACAGGCAUUUGUUAAAUAGAAAAUGAUGGUUUAAACCUGGUUUAAUAUCUAGCUAAGACUCUUUUGUAUUACUAUCGCAUAUAAAAAUGACACUGUUCUCCCUUUCAAAACUUAUUGUGUCAACGAUAAAAUCUAUAAAAGAAAUCUAUUAGGACAUUUAAUCAAUAAAAUAGGAUAUCCUACGAAAGAGAUCUCAAAACUUAAAAAGACAAAACAUUAUUCUGCUCUUUGGUCGGGUUGUUGUCUCAUUGUUACACAUUCUCCAUUUCCAUUCCGUAGAAAAUUCAAAUCGGAAAAUCCCUAAUUGAAUAACAAAAUCAAAUGUUAUAACACAUCAAACGAAUUGACAACAACUGGCAUUUUCCUAACUAUGUACAGUCAUGUUCAGUUGUAUAUUUCAUUUGUGUAGUAGUUACAAGCGUUAUGCAUGUGUAGUUCGUAUACACGAGUAUUAAUACAAGUUCUAUCACAAAAUAGUUGAUUCAUAACAGUUUGUGAUGGUACUAUUGUUCACUUCUAUAUAUUUUUUUUCAGAUGACAAAUUUUAAAGUUUUUCUCCUGGUUGUGUCAGCUGUUUGUGUUUCGUAUGUAUGGACAUGCCGUGACAAUUACGCACAAAGUCAUCAUAGUAAAUGUUACUGCCCAUGUGACGAUACAUUUAAUGCGUGCGAAACCAACUGUACAACGAUGUACCAUGACAAGCAACAUCUGAGCCAUUGCCAAAUAAGGUGUACUGAUGGUCUGGCCUGGUGCAUAAAUGCAUGUAAUCAUGGAUGAAUAUGUUAAAUGUUUCUUUUAACAAAUUUUUAAUUUACCACAAUUUGAUAUAAUUAGUAUUGUAAUUUUCAUUGUUAUUAAUAAAAUGUUAUAUCAGUCUUACAAAUCUAA